UACGGAGGGUGCAAGCGUUAUCCGGAUUCACUGGGCUUAAAGGGUGCGUAGGCGGACACUUAAGUCCGUGGUGAAAUCUCUGGGCUUAACCCAGAAACUGCCAUGGAUACUAUUUGUCUUGAAUGUUGUGGAGGUUAGCGGAAUAUGUCAUGUAGCGGUGAAAUGCAUAGAUAUGACAUAGAACACCAAUUGCGAAGGCAGCUGGCUACACAAAUAUUGACGCUGAGGCACGAAAGCGUGGGGAUCAAACAGG
rnacentral:rRNA from 1 species